GGAUCAUUACCGAGUUAUACAAAAACUCCUAAACCAUUGUGAACCUACCUUUUACGUUGCCUCGGCAGGCCCGCGCCUACCCUGGAGCUACCCUGUAGCUACCCUGGAGGUGUGCCAUAGGGCCUGCCGGUGGUCUACCAAACUCUUAUUAUUACGAAACAGUCUGACAAUACCAAACAAAAUACGUUAAAACUUUCAACAACGGAUCUCUUGGUUCUGGCAUCGAUGAAGAACGCAGCGAAAUGCGAUAAGUAAUGUGAAUUGCAGAAUUCAGUGAAUCAUCGAAUCUUUGAACGCACAUUGCGCCCAUUAGUAUUCUAGUGGGCAUGCCUGUUCGAGCGUCAUUUCAACCCUUAAGCCUCUUGUUGCUUAGCGUUGGGAGCCUGCGUUACAGCAGCUCCCCAAAGUUAGCUGGCGGAGUUAGGAUGUACUCUGAGCGUAGUAAUUUUUCUCGCUUCCUGUAGUCGUCCUGGCCCCGGCCAUUAAACCCCCUAUUUUACAAUGGUUGACCUCGGAUCAGGUAGGAAUACCCGCUGAACUUAAGCAUAUCAAUAAGCGGAGGAAAAGAAACCAACAGGGAUUGCCCUAGUAACGGCGAGUGAAGCGGCAACAGCUCAAAUUUGAAAUCUGGCCCUCGGGUCCGAGUUGUAAUUUGUAGAGGAUGCUUUUGGCGCGGUGCCUUCCAAGUUCCCUGGAACGGGACGCCUUAGAGGGUGAGAGCCCCGUACGGUUGGACGCCUAGCCUCUGUAAAGCUCCUUCGACGAGUCGAGUAGUUUGGGAAUGCUGCUCUAAAUGGGAGGUAAACUUCUUCUAAAGCUAAAUACCGGCCAGAGACCGAUAGCGCACAAGUAGAGUGAUCGAAAGAUGAAAAGCACUUUGAAAAGAGGGUUAAAUAGCACGUGAAAUUGUUGAAAGGGAAGCAUUUGCGACCAGACUUUUUCCGGGCGGAUCAUCCGGCGUUCUCGCCGGUGCACUUCGCCCGGUUUAGGCCAGCAUCGGUUUUCGUAGGGGGAUAAAGGCCUGGGGAACGUAGCUCCCUCGGGAGUGUUAUAGCCCCUCGCGCAAUACCCUUACGGGGACCGAGGACCGCGCU
rnacentral:rRNA from 1 species